GGAGAGAACAGGAGGUGAAUGAGGCCACAGAAGGAACGUGUGCUCCUUCUGUGACCUCAUUCACCUCCUGUUCUCUCCCAUUCUUUCUGGGUCUUUCC
rnacentral:miRNA from 12 species